rnacentral:rRNA from 1 species
AUUGAACGCUGGCGGCAGGCCUAACACAUGCAAGUCGAGCGGCAGCGGAAAGUAGCUUGCUACUUUGCCGGCGAGCGGCGGACGGGUGAGUAAUGUCUGGGAAACUGCCUGAUGGAGGGGGAUAACUACUGGAAACGGUGGCUAAUACCGCAUAACGUCGCAAGACCAAAGUGGGGGACCUUCAGGCCUCACGCCAUCGGAUGUGCCCAGAUGGGAUUAGCUAGUAGGUGGGGUAAUGGCUCACCUAGGCGACGAUCCCUAGCUGGUCUGAGAGGAUGACCAGCCACACUGGAACUGAGACACGGUCCAGACUCCUACGGGAGGCAGCAGUGGGGAAUAUUGCACAAUGGGCGCAAGCCUGAUGCAGCCAUGCCGCGUGUGUGAAGAAGGCCUUCGGGUUGUAAAGCACUUUCAGCGAGGAGGAAGGCAUCAUACUUAAUACGUGUGGUGAUUGACGUUACUCGCAGAANAAGCACCGGCUAACUCCGUGCCAGCAGCCGCGGUAAUACGGAGGGUGCAAGCGUUAAUCGGAAUUACUGGGCGUAAAGCGCACGCAGGCGGUUUGUUAAGUCAGAUGUGAAAUCCCCGCGCUUAACGUGGGAACUGCAUUUGAAACUGGCAAGCUAGAGCCUUGUAGAGGGGGGUAGAAUUCCAGGNGUAGCGGUGAAAUGCGUAGA